rnacentral:rRNA from 1 species
UACGUAGGGUGCGAGCGUUGUCCGGAAUUAUUGGGCGUAAAGAGCUCGUAGGCGGUUUGUCGCGUCUGCUGUGAAAACCCGAGGCUCAACCUCGGGCCUGCAGUGGGUACGGGCAGACUAGAGUGCGGUAGGGGAGAAUGGAAUUCCUGGUGUAGCGGUGGAAUGCGCAGAUAUCAGGAGGAACACCGAUGGCGAAGGCAGUUCUCUGGGCCGUAACUGACGCUGAGGAGCGAAAGCGUGGGGAGCGAACAGG